GAGAAGCAGAGAGACAGAGAGAAGCAGAGAGACAGAGGGAGGCAGAGAGAGUCACAGAAGCGAAGGAGAACCAGAGAAAAAUGCAGGAGAUCAAGAGAGUCAAACAUCUGCUGGAGCUACUGAUGGUGGAUCUACAACUGGCCCACCAAGAGAUAGAGAGAUUGAGGCUAUGGCAGAAAGUCAUGGAGGAUCAGCGACCAAGACUGGCCUGGAACAACAAACCUAUUGAGACAGAAAGAGAGAGGGAAAGAGAGAGGAAAGGAGAGAGAAAGGGAGAUGGAAAGGGAGAGAAAAGCAGAAUUGGAAAGACAAGAAAUGAAGAAGAAAGUGAAACAGGCAGAAGAAACGAUAAAAGCGUUAGAACGAGAGAUUGAGAGAUUGAAAGAGAUGGAAAAGGAAAUCAUACUUGAAAGAGAAAGAGACAUGUGUAUUGCAGAGAAUGAGAAAGUCAAACUGGUUAACGGAAAGGUAAAAGAGUUAGAGAGAGAGGUUGAGAGACUGAAAGAAGAUAUGACAACAAAAGAGAUUCAAUACAAAAUCAAAUUUGAAAGAGCGAAAGAAGCAUAUAGAAGACAGAAUGAGAGAGUGAAACAGGUUAACCAAAAUGUGCUAGUGUUAGACAGAGAGGUUGUGAGAAUGAAAGAAGAGAUUAGAUUGAAAGACGAGACUGAACCAGAGAGAACAUUUGAUAGAGACAGAGAGAGAGAAAAUGAUUGGAGACGAAGAGAAGAGGAGAUGAAAAAUAGAGUGGAGAGAGAGAUGGAGAUGGAGACAGCCCUCAUCAAUGACAAAAAGACGUCUGAAUUGGAGGAAGUCUUCAAGAAAAUCAAGGUACAGCUGAUAGAAUUAGAAAAUAUGGAAACAGACGAAA